UACGGAGGAUCCAAGCGUUAUCCGGAUUUAUUGGGUUUAAAGGGUGCGUAGGCGGCCUGUUAAGUCAGAGGUGAAAGACGGUAGCUCAACUAUCGCAGUGCCUUUGAUACUGACGGGCUUGAAUGAGCUAGAGGUAGGCGGAAUGAGACAAGUAGCGGUGAAGUGCAUAGAUAUGUCUCAGAACACCGAUUGCGAAGGCAGCUUACUAUGGUUUUAUUGACGCUGAGGCACGAAAGCGUGGGGAUCAAACAGG
rnacentral:rRNA from 1 species